CCACAUCCAAGGAAGGCAGCAGGCACGCAAAUUACCCACUCCCGGCACGGGGAGGUAGUGACAAAAAAUAACGAUACGGGACUCAUCCGAGGCCCCGUAAUCGGAAUGAGAACACCCUAAAUCCUUUAACGAGGAUCUAUUGGAGGGCAAGUCUGGUGCCAGCAGCCGCGGUAAUUCCAGCUCCAAUAGCGUAUAUUAAAGUUGUUGCGGUUAAAAAGCUCGUAGUUGGUUCUGCGUGCCACGCUGUCGGUUCACCGCCUGCCGGUGCAACUGGCAUGCCGUGGCAUGUCCUGUCGGUGGCGGAUAGGCUUCGCGGCGUGCCCUAUG
rnacentral:rRNA from 1 species